UACGUAGGGCGCAAGCGUUGUUCGGAUUUACUGGGCGUAAAGGGCGCGUAGGCGGCCCGGUAAGUCACUUGUGAAAUCUCUGAGCUUAACUCAGAACGGCCAAGUGAUACUGCAGUGCUAGAGUGCAGAAGGGGCAAUCGGAAUUCUUGGUGUAGCGGUGAAAUGCGUAGAUAUCAAGAGGAACACCUGAGGUGAAGACGGGUUGCUAGGCUGACACUGACGCUGAGGCGCGAAAGCCAGGGGAGCAAACGGG
rnacentral:rRNA from 1 species